UUUGGUUGUACACUUCUACAGCUAUUAUAAAUAGACGAAACACUGAGAGACAUCUGCAAACCGAGUCAGAUUAAGUUUGAGAAAAUUGGAGACAUCAAAGAAAUUAGUGAUGCUGCUUCAGCUUAUUACCAUAAUUUGUCUGAAGAGCAAAAGCACAAGGUGCAUACCUUUUUUCAAGAAAUUGAUACAGAUGGUGAUGGAACAAUAACCAUGGAGGAGUUCAAGCAGAAGUAUGAAGGUAGUUUCGGCGACAAUGUCAACGGUACCUUCCAGGAGCUAGACAAAAAUGGAGAUGGCAGUUUGGAUUUUGAGGAAUCUAUCACUCUUUACUACUCUUUUAAGGCCCGGAGGACCAUUAGUUGCGAUGGAUGCUAAGCCUUUUUUCUAAAGGGACUGUAUUUCACUUGCGUGGACUGCUUCGAGCAUAACCGAACCGCAAUUUUGCGUGGACUGUAUUUCACUUUUGAUCUUUGCAGCUCCUGCUACCGCAGCCGCAACUACGUUCACGCACACUCCAACUUUUUGGACAACCACGCCUUCCUACGUUCCAAGGCUGCUUAUAUCAAUUCUGGAUCGACAAACCAGGCAGAAGUUUUGAAGGCCUUCAAAACCGGUGCUGAAAUCAUAGAUGCUGUGGGAAAUAUUGCUAAUGCCGCUGAUUCAUGCAUCAUGCUAUAGUCUGCCUGGAUCUAUGUGUCUGCCUGUUUGGUGUUGGUAGCUUGCUUUAGUGCGACCAAGUCUCUGUUUAUGAUCUUGUUGUUUGUAAUAGGGAAAUUUUUAACAACAAUUAAUACAUCACAAUGGGUCCAUUCUAAC